CACAGGUUUGAGGACCAACAUAAAAAGCACCUCGGACAUUAUUACGGCCUACGUGUUUAGAGUAUAUUGUGUGAUGGUGUAAGUUUUUACCAUCUCAUAUACCACUCUGAUUAGGCUCUGUGUACAAACCUUACUCAGUUUAGGCCUGUCAUAAGGAGGAUGUCUGUCCAUGGUGCACAUGACGAUGCGGUCCGUGAAGCCCUCUUGCCUCAGCGUCUCCGCACACACCAGACCUGCUGGACCUGCACACAUCAAUCAUCACUCAGAUCUUUGACAUGGCAGACGGAGGCCUCCACGUAGUCCCGUGAUUUGUGGUACGCUUGGAGAGGGGUGGAGUCGUCGUCCGAGCUGUGCCCCAGGGCCCCAUUUGGCCUGCAGUCCGCAAAGGGACUUGCCUUGCCAUUAGGAACAGAUCUCAGCUAAAAGAGGCAGCCCAAACUCGAAUUGAGGACAAAUCAAGUGUGACAACUCCUUCAGUGAAACAAAUGGAAGAUGGGAUAAGGUGUCUGGACUAAUUUAAAGGGCAAAAAUGCCUUCUUUCUUGCUUUUUUUCUCAUUCAUUCCACAGUCUUAAAGCUCAUGAACUGUCUUCUAAGCAGCAAAACAUUUAACAUGGGAAUAUUUUAGUGCUGUCAAACAAUUUUGAAUUUGUAAUCAGAUUAAUUACAAUGAAUCACAAUUAGACAUAUUAUUCAUUUUCAUAUAUAUUAAUGGUGAUUUUGCAUGUGCAAAUAGACUCAAAAAAGAGGGUAAAAUACAGUGGAACCUCGAUUCACAAACUUAAUUGGUUCUAAAACAGGGUUCGUAAAUUGAAAAUUUCAUAUAGCGAUGCACAAUACUCCAUAAGAAACAAUGCAAAUAUAAAUAAUGGGUUCCAGCCUCAAUAAAAGUCCAUAUUUAUGUGGUUUGUACACUUUGAACACAUGAAGUGCUAUACAGAAUUAUAUAUCAAAGAAACAUAACAAGGGGGUGAUGGAUCAACUUUAGAUUUAGUAACAGGCCAAAACGACGACAACUGUGGCAGGGGACAGUGGCAGCGAUUAUCUUUUCAAACGCUGGUCUUUUUUGGCGAUGUACAUCCAUUUUCUUCUUUACAUUGUUCCUGAUGCCCAACCUUUUUUUUUAAAAUUAUUUUUAGCCUAUGUGCGGUUUUCUGUAGCAGGAGAAAGAAACUCCUCCUUCUGAGUUAUCAAUGGGCAGCGCUUGCUGUUCUCAAUCACAUGGCUACUUUCAAUAUGGUUUGCAUAUAUAUAAAGGAGCGAGGUCUGGGUGUGCAAAUCUAGGCAGACAUCUGCGGUUGAUUCCAAGUAGAUUGUGAUGUAACAAAUGAAUAUGCUUGGAUUUUUGCGUGCGAACACUUUCAUACAUCUGAAGUUUUACUGACGUACGCCAUUUCCUGGAUUUGUUAGUACGUCCAUAUUUCGUAGGAAAGCCACGCAACUCUCUGAACAUGAGGCCCUUGUUCUACAGAAUGUACAUAGUACUUUACAUGACUGUUCAGUCAUGUUUUUUUGUACUCAUAUUUCGGAUAGAGAGGAUCACAUUGACAGCAGCCUGUCAUUACCGAAUCAACUGCACAUUUGUGACAGUAACACUACUUGGACAAACUGCCUGAAGUGCAUUGCUGGAGACGAUAAGGGAUUUUGAGGAAUUAUUCGCAGCAGAUGUGUCAAUGACAUUACAUGUUUUAAUGAAAUUAAUAAUAACAAAUGAAUCCGUAUUAAAACAUUCCUUUUUGACAGCCUUAAAAUAUUUAUAUAUUUAAAUUAAGUCUAUUUAAAUGUAAAUUGUAUUAUCUAAAUGUCAUUUUAAUGAUAGUAUAGUACAAUUUAGCAAACUAUAUAUGAACUAUGGUUGACUCGAUACCAAUAUUUUGGUACCGGUACCAAAAUGUAUUUUGAUGCUUUUCAAUACUUUUUUUAAAUAAAGGGGACCUAAAAAAAAUUGCAUUAUAGGCUUUGUUUUAACACAAAAAAAUUAUGGUACAAUAAACAUGUUUCUUAUUGCAAUCGAAGAAUAAUCUUGUCAUUAAAUAAAAUAGUGAACAUAGUCUCCUGAAACUGCGGAAGUUAGUUUGCUUAAAAGAAACAUCAGUUUUUCUGACUUUUAAUAGUAAGUAAACAAACAAAGGCUCCUAAUUUGUCUGCUGACGUAUGCAGUAACAUAUUGUGUCAUUUCUCAUUCUAUUAUUUUAUCAAAAUUAUAAAGAACAAGCUGUAAAAACUGAUUACUAAUAUACUUGUUAAUUUACUGGUCAUAUCUGGUUAUUUUUAGUCUCAACAUCAUCUAUCUACACUUCUGUUAAAAUGUAAUAAUCACUUAUUCUUCUGUUGUUUGGAUACUUUACAUCAGUUUUGGAUGAUACCACAAAUUUAGGUAAUGAUCCGAUACCAAGUCGUUAAAGGGUCAUACAUUGUUCAUAAUUUAAGUUCUCAUGUGUCCAGGGACAGUGUAUGAAUAUAAUAUGAAUUUAAAAAUAAACUUUUUUUUCCCCGAUAAAAAAUACUAAUGUAAUCAUAGUAGUAUCGAUUAGAUACGCUCUUGUACUUGGUAUCAUUACAGUGGAUGUUAGGUGUAGAUCCACCCAUGGCGUUUGUUUACAUCGUGACGCCGGUGAGCUAUUGUAUCCUAUUCCUCGUCCUGCAGGGAUGAUACUUGUAAGAAACGUACUUUAUUUGUUGCCAUGGAGGCGAGGAUAAGUAAUUUAGAAGUAGCUACAACACUGCCCAUUGCGGAUGGACAUUAGCCGCUAACUCGCUGGCCAGGUUUUAAAGCACAUCUACCGGAGGGUAUUUCAGUGUUAUAGCUUCACCUUUAUCGUUAGUUUUUAAGCCAAAAUGCGUCUGUCUACACACUGUGUCUGGUUGUAAGUACUCAGUGAUUGUGCGCUGCCGAAGAAGCUCAUCUGCUCGUAAAGCCAGCAAUGUCAUGACGUGACAACGACUUGCCGUCAUGCCUGAAAAAAAAAAAAUAUAUAUAUAUAUAUAUGGCGAACCGGUACUUUUCAAACAGAGUAUAGUACCGUUUUUGAUUCAUUAGUAUCGCGAUACUAUACUAGUACCGGUAUACCGUACAAGCCUAAUAUUAACGAUGUGAUUUCUUCCUUAAUGCAAAGAUUGAGGACAAUAUCUACACAUAAUUCAAUUAAAAAUGUGAUCCCAUUUUCCAACAAUAAAACAGCACAGUGCCGUGAACAUUUUCAUUUAGGCCCUAUAUUAAAUUAGAUGCUUUUAUUUUCAUUGCACACAUAAUACAAUGAAACUUGGUUUAGAGUUCCACUUCACUUUCUAGCAGCAUGAGGAGAUUUUAAAAGAAAUACUAUAAAUACUAUGAAUAUAGGAUUAAAGUUGUUAAAAAUAGGGAUGUGUUAAGAAAGUAUAGUACAGGUACAACAAUAUACACAGAAAAUAUACAUUGGCAGUUAGCAUUAAAAAUAAUAGGAUCUUGGUAACUGGUGGUUUUGCUGACAUUUAUUGCACUUUGAUGCCAUAUAUUGCGCUGUUGUUUGAGUUUUCAUUAAUGCAUAUGAAACUAUGGGCACAACUCCAGCAGGCUCUAUCUGUUUGGAUUUGAAAAUGUGCUGAUUGUCCAGGUCUUACACACAGUAAUCUGGCUGGAAUGUUGUCCCACUGAGUAAGUCUUAAUUAAAAGUAAUGGAAAAUCAUACGUGGGGCAAUGGCCGGGGAAAUGAAAGUAAACGAUUUUUAGAGUUGUAAAGACUCACCUGACACUGCGGCAGUUAGUCUGCUUAAAAGAAACAUCAGUAUUUCUGUCAGUUAGUUUGGUGGUCAGACAGAUCGAGUGCUUUUAUGUUGUCGUGUUCAUACAGAUGAUGAAUCCCUUUUUUCCACUUCACCACCGACAUGUGAUGCAUUCGCCACGUGUUUCAUGAAAAUGCAUGCAGCAUCAACUAUCAUGUUUUCAUCAACUAUCAAAUUGUUCAGCUAGUUCAUGGCACAAAAUUCCCAGUUUUCCCAGAAUUCCUCGUUUUCUGGGUUUUUUUCUCCAAUAAAAAUAAUUGGACAAUUUUGCAACCUGCACAAUUCUCACUUUUCUUAACCGAGUCACACAAUUCCACUAUCAACACACUCCACUCAUCCUGGACAAACCAACAAUGUUACCGGUUCAAAAAUUCCCUUUUUGUUUGGAAUUUCCGCAUUUAAAACUGCAAUAUGUCCACUCUUUUUUCUUUCGACGACUUCCCACAUUUUUCAGCUGUUUUAAACCAUUCCACCAUCAAAGAUAAUGUCUGAAACAUGCCAGCAUGCUAACGCUAGCAUUUUAAUGUUAGCAAUGUGACUUUAUUGGUUAAUUUUGCAG